AGUGUGGUGGCCGAGUGGUUAAGGCGUUGGACUUAAGUUCCAAUAGACAGUACCUUCCCCGUGCUG
rnacentral:tRNA from 1 species